rnacentral:rRNA from 1 species
AUGGUAAUCUGGAGGACUAUACAGACACUUCACACCGUAGGUUCACUGAGAUUCUUGGUACAUGGUACUCAGGGGACGACAAGGAGAAAAAAAUUUACUGAUCUGCUCUCAUAUCUCGAAAUAAUGUGGAAAUUAGAUUGUAAGAGAAUGUAUGUCACAUAUUUUGGUGGUGAUGAAUAUUCAGGUCCUGACACGGAUUUCAUGGAUGUUGUGUUGUCCUUUGUGCCGGAAAGUAAUGUUUCGGCAACCACUUCUAAGGGAAGUUUUUGGAAUGUUGAUGACACUGGUCCAUGUGGGCCAUGUUCAGGAAUUUAUUAUGAUCUCAUUGGAAACAGGAAUCCUGAUACUCCUGUAGUUCUGAAUGACCCUACGCGUCCUCUGCUUUUGAAUCUUGUAUUUAUUCAGGUUAGUUGGGAAGCAGAUGGUGUUUUGAGACGGUUGCCAGUUGAACAUGUAGUAACAGGGGUGGACUCUGAAGGCAUGACCUCUGCCUGCCAGGGCCAAAUCAGCCCUUAUUGUACCGAUGUGUAUACACCAAUACUUGAUAUCAUCCAUGAUUGUGCAGGUGGAAUCCUUCCAUACAAAGCUUAUGUUGGAUCUGAUGAUACCGAUGGAGUUGGUAUGGCUUAUCGAGUAACCGCUGAUCACUUACGAAUGAUAUAUGCUGCUACUGCUAAAGAUACACAGAUCGGAGAAAGGGGAAGAGAGUUUUUGCUCAAGAUUAUUGAUGGACAAGCAGUUCGACUUGGUGUUGAGAAGCUGAAGAUGUGCCAAGAAAAUUAUGCUAAACUUGUAGAGAGAUCUAUUAAAAAGACGGCUGUGUUGUUUUCUGAACCUGUGACCAGUGAAGAGAGUUUAAAACAAAUAGUCAAAGAUGAAGUUAGUAUCUACAGGAAUACUUUGGCCGAGCUGCAACCUCCUAAUAAAAGAACCAAAAAGAAGAAAACAAAGGAUCAGGCAGGAACAGAUCAGGACAAUGUAGAGCCCAGCCCUCCCACAACAUGGUACAAGACGCGGGCGGUCACAUUUUUUGAUCGCGACACACACAUUAUCCACGAGGAUAAGAAAAGAAUAUCCUCCCUUGUUGCCUUAACCAAUGCUCUUCUGCUCCAGGGGAAGAUAACUUUGGAUCUGAAUGUCACCGAGGUGUCGGAGGGUCAGCUGCUUCAUCUUAUCCAAAGCCGUCUUUUAUGUGGCAAUGUGAAGAUGGAGCUUCAAAAUGAAUUUGAACGUUCAGAUUUUCAAAAACAAGUUCUAAAUGUGUUGCCACAUCUCCCAGGCGUUCUAUACAUGAAUACGAAAUCUGAUAGCAUUGAUGGCUUUGUGAAAUCCCCGGAAUCCACAUUGUUUGAAUACAUUGGAGUUUCUUUGUACCAUGGGUGUUUGGUGGAUCUACAAGAUGAAACCUUAGCCUUAAGCGUUCAGCAAUCCUUAGAUUUUGCUAAGCAUAAGUCAGUUUCAGAACGAGAAACCAUGGAAUUAGGAGCUCAUGAGGAGCAGAGUGAUGACCUUGGAGAAGCUGAGGAAACCUUUGACUCGCCAGCUGCUGCUACUUGUGAAUUGACCAAAAUCGCAAGUUCUCUUCGGAGCUCUGAGCUAACAGUACAGGGAUUGAAAUGCCUACGAACAGACCUAACUGAGAAGGAACCAUGUGUCCUAUUUUGGAAUGGUGCCUUUAUUACUACAACCCUGGUGGAAGGAGAGUUGUAUCUUUUGGUUAAUGAUACAAGUUUUUUAACCAAACACACCAAUAUUUUUUGGCUCUUGUUAAAAGAGGUAAAUCAAGGUGGAUUGUAUAUGGACUACAAUUUCUCACCUGUUGUUGAUUCAAAAAAUCUGAACAUUUCAAUUUUGCCAAUCACGAAAAAAGAUAGAAUGAGGGACAAGAAAAAGCACAACAAGACGAAACGUAAGGUUAUGUGUGCAGAGCUAAAGCAGGAUGCUGAUGAAGAGGGUAUGGAGUCACAACAAACGCAGGGUAUAGAAGCUACAGCCGCAAGUACAGCAGUGGUUAUGUGUGCAGAGCUAAAACAGGAUGCUGAUGGAGAGUGUAUGGAGUCACAACAAACACAGGGUAUAGAAGCUACAGCUGCAAGUACAGCAGUGGNNNNNGGUGAAGCUUCGGAGGAAUUAAAGAAUAUCCGUCAACCUCAUAUUCCAUUGCCCAACACUUCUAAAUCUUUUUAUGUGACAAGGCAGAUCAAGUUCCAUGGCCGCCACAUUCGUAUUAUCUGUCAGGAGUCAAACGGCCCAUGCAGUUUGAUUGCAAUAUGCAAUGCACUCUUGCUUAAGGGUGAUAUAAGGCUUGAAUCAAAUGCUACCAUGGUCCAUGAGAAGGAACUGAUUAUGCUUCUUCUAGAAUUUCUUGAGAACCGCAAGGGGGUGCCAUGUUCAGAAUUGCCGAGACAAAUAUUUGAUAUUCUGCAAAAGCUUUCGGUCCCCCUAGAAGUGAACGUUGUCUUCAAUAGAACUGAUGGUUUCGUGGAAAUGCCACAGAUUUCGCUGUUUCGUGACCUUAAUAUUUCUCUAUAUCAUGGCUGGCUUCUAGAUCCAGAUGAUGCUGACUUUGCUGCGCUAUCACCAUAUUCGUCGUAUUAUGCACUUUAUGAGGCGUUCUUUGACCCUGAGUUUCAGAAUGUGGAUCUGGCCAAAAAGUUCCUAAAAGGUCCUCAACUCACUUCCUAUGGCUUGCGUUCCUUACGCAACGACCUGAAAGAGGAGGCCCCAUGUGUACUUUUCUGGCAGAAUCACUUCAGCGCUGUAAUUAAGAUAAAAGAGGAACUAUAUGCCUUAGUUACUGAUUCAGGUUAUUUAGAAAGUUCUGUGGUUUGGGAAAGGUUAUUAAGUGAGGCGGGCGGGGAACUUGUGGACUGCAACUUCAUUCCAAUUGUUCGAGCGCCACACAUACCACCUUCCUUUCAGGAUCUGCCUGGAACUAGCUCUUCUAUGUCGGUUCACUCGUCUGGUCAACUGAUUUCUGAGGUUUCUGAUGGAAGAAUUUCAUUUAUAAGACGGCGAACAGCAAAUCUGUUCACCGAUGACGACGACAACUAUUUGGAAUCACUUCAAAAAUUUGCAGAAUUGCCCAGAAAUCAGUUUUCAGAAGCAAAAACCUUGUGUGCUAAAGGUACCUCAUUGAUUGUUGCGGAUACAUCCAAAAUUGGCAGGAUCAUUGCAAGCGAUCUUCUUCAGCAAAUUGUGCAGGCCCAUCAAGCUAAGUGUAGCUGGAAUGGGAAAUUUGAUAGACGCAGCAUUUAUGUUAAUGGUCGUUAUCGUGCUAGGAUUACAGCACAGUUUUGUGAGUACACUGAUAACACCUUGCCAAUUGCUUACAUGACAAAUGACUACACAGCUUAUGUUGUGGAAGUGCUUUCUCUAUUUGAACUAGAGAAGUUGGGAUAUCCCGCCUUUUUUCGCUUGCUGAUUAACACACUUACAGAAUCAGAUCUAAGCACCAUGUCACAUUUUGAUUUGGCAUGCUUUUGGGAUAGAAUACAAAGCCACCUAGCUUUGAAGUUUUCGUCAGCCAGACAGGACUUCUAUGGUGGCAUCCAGAGGAUCCGCCGAAAUUCAUCAAGGAGGGUCAGGUGGGCCUUAAGAAAUCUGUUGAGGUCGGCACCAUUGGCUGAUGAUGAUGAUUGGAGGGCGUUGACCUAUGACGGAGGACAAGGACAUCCUCUUCUCAGAAAAGUUUUGAGGUAUAAAGGAAAGAAUCAUGAGCAGAAGGAUGAUGAGACUGAAGAGGACAAAAGGUUUGGGAAAUAUUUGAAUACUCUUGAUAGUGCUUCUGAAUAUGCGCGCAAUGUGAAUGAGCAUGCAGAGGAUGAUGAGGAUGUCAAGGAAGAUGCUGAUGAGGAGGUGGAACCAUUCUAUGAACCAGUCGAAUUACUUUCAGAAUUGGAUUUGCUGUACUCGCAUUUUCUUCAAGAGCAUCUCAGUGCGGUUCAUGAACUCCUAGUAACCUCUGUUUCUGAGGAGUUAUUUUUGUUGUUGGAAGAGCUGUUUGAAUUGUAUGAGAGACCGGAGGUUAUUACAAACCGAGUGUCAUGA